AGCUCCAAUAGCGUAUAUUAAAGUUGUUGCGGUUAAAAAGCUCGUAGUUGGAUUUCUGCCGAGGACGACCGGUCCGCCCUCUGGGUGAGUAUCUGGCUCGGCCUGGGCAUCUUCUUGGAGAACGUAGCUGCACUUGACUGUGUGGUGCGGUAUCCAGGACUUUUACUUUGAGGAAAUCAGAGUGUUUCAAGCAGGCAUACGCCUUGAAUACAUUAGCAUGGAAUAAUAAGAUAGGACCUCGGUUCUAUUUUGUUGGUUUCUAGAGCUGAGGUAAUGAUUAAUAGGGAUAGUUGUGGGUAUUCGUAUUCAGAUGUCAGAGGUGAAAUUCUUAGAUUAUCGGAAGACGAACGACUGCGAAAGCAUUUACCAAGGAUGUUU
rnacentral:rRNA from 1 species